GAAAAAAUUAGUAGCAUGCAACUUAAUGUAGGACAUGUUUUUUUCAACAGGUUUUAGUUGAUUACUGAUUAAACUGUUCUCCACUCCUAUACAACGAAUUAUAUAACUUGUUCGUAGAUGAUUAAUUUGAAUCAUAAACAAUAAAUAGUUAUUAGUUAUUAUGUCUAACAAACUUGAUCUAAUCAAUGAAUUUAUUCAAAUAAUUGUCAACAUUUCUUAGUUUUUUUUGUUAAUGGAAUACCUUUGUCUUUUGGAUUAUAGUUCUAGUAUCAUUUAUCGGGGGAAAAAGUACGUGACAGUGAAAAAGUAUUAGAAAAACAUAAUGAAGAGUUGCAAAGCAUACACGAUGAUAGAUAGUGUGAACAAACAGGCUGUAGGACGUCGACAUGUAAUGUUUAAAAUUUAGGCCACAUAUUACGCAAAUCACCGUACAUACGGCGCCACGUAUGUUGGUAGGGAGCUUCUAAUUACCACUAAAUUAAUUUGACAUUCUUAACAAAGAAACAUAAUAUAUUAGAUCAACUGAACUAGUAAACUCUUAAUUUGUUCUCUUAACUUUUAAUUAUACGAAUUACGAUUAAUUGAGAAUUCUAGUCCCCGGCGGCAUGUCUUAAGAGAAUGAAAAAAUUAAAAUUUAUUCAAUCGAGAAACGAGAAUUCAGAUAUGAUUACAAGUUCUAUUUGAACAAAAAAUUUCAAGUCAAUCUAUUACAUUUAUAGCUUUACUCCUCUAUUAAAUCCGACAAGUUCUGACAAUCUAUACUAUAUUAAAAGUAAGAUAUUCUCAUUAUAUAACCAUGCCACGUAUGCAAAUAAAUUCAAACCAAUAAGAGAACACGAUUUUGACACGUCAUCUAUAAACAUUAAAAAUCAGACCUAAUCGUUGGGCCUUACAAUAUUUCUACUGAAUCAUUUAGGUUAAAACCCACAAUAUUGACCUACCACUUUCCUAUCUCCUUCGUUGUUUCAAUCUCUUUCAUCCGUAACACUGCAGAUUUCCGUUUACGUUUCACUUCCAUUCACUCCUCCUCAUUCAAUUUCAUCCUUCAAUCAUAUCUUCAUGAGAGAACCAAUAUCCUUUCACCUCCCUUUGUUUCUCCUGUUAUAUAGAUCUCUUUCUCCUCGAAUCUCACUUCGAUCCACUUUCUACGACCUCAUUCAUCUAAUGGUGCUCCACGAUAUGAGCCUCAACUCAAACCAGGCAGUAGUUGGGAAGCUCUCAGAAAAUGGUGAUUUCACAGUCCACAUAUCAGAUUUCUCAUAGGUUUGCUCUAAGAUUGAUUUUAUUAAAUUAACAAGAUAUGGUUGAUCACUGAGAUCAGUGCAUUUGCUGACUUUCUUACACUGUCUGUCUCUUUUAUCUCCUGAAGACUGUAAAACCAGUUCUAUGUUAAUAUGGUCUCCGCUUCUUUUGUUCAAUCGGCACACUCACCCAUGUUUAUGAUUUUUAGCAGGAUUCAACGAACCUGUAAACGACAGUGAUUUGCUGUAAAAGUUAAAGAUUAUGCCCGUGUGGGAGAGUCGGCCAGGCGAAGAGAUGUUUGAACUGCCAAAGCAACAUGAAAAGUGUACUAUUCACUACACCAAAGUGGUUGUAUAUUUAGGUGGUAAUAGGUACAGAAGAUGGUGGCAAAAGAAAAAAGAAUCUACAUAUUUUACUUGAGUACGUAACUAGGAGAAGCUUUCAUAUGGGUAUGGGAGUUUGAAUUGAUCAGUCAAAGUAUAUGUGGUCAUAUACGGUGGUGUUAUAUAGUGAUUUUGGUUACGAAUAUAUAACAAUCAUCAUUCCUUCCAAGUGCUUAGUGGCUGAAACAGAGUGGGGUUACAUACCUGUGGUGUCCAUAAGAUGACAAUUGGAUAGGAAACUUGGGACAUGUAAUGGUCUUUGAGAUAUUCAAGAAUAAAAAGCAUAAAUGCAUUAAUUAAUUUACAAAGUUGUGAUAGAAUGUGUGAUUGAUUUAAUAGUUUUUUGGCGCUUUGAUAAUGUUUUCUGGUUUUAUUAUUGAGCUAAAGAAAUAAAAACCAAUACGCAGAAAAUGAAUAUCAUGCUAAUAGGUGAUAAAAACGAUUAGUUUAUUUUAAUAAAUUUAUAACAAGAGACAAGUGUAACUAUGAAAAACUCUAUACUGAUAAAGUAAGUGUAGGAACCGACCAAUGUCUAAGGUACAGUCUUGAAAUUUAUAGAUAUUGCAAAUAGUUAGUGAAAUCAACUGCGAAGCUGUUGUAAGCUAUACAAAUCAAACAAACAAAGAUACACGAAACACAUUGUGACAUAAAGAAAAAAAAUAGUCAAAGAAGAGAAGAAAUCCAUCUACAAUUCUCACUCUGUCAAAUCCAUGUCUUACCUUCUCGCAUGAUCAUGAUUAUUGCAUUGUCUCCUAGCGGCACCGAUUAUAACUUAGAUUAUGUAUUGCUAUGUUAAUAGACAACUACAUGUAAAUCAUUAGAAAUAAAAAUUAAAAAAAAAACAAAAAAAAUAAUUAAAAACAAAAAAAAAA